rnacentral:lncRNA from 1 species
GGCGCAAAACCAAAAUUGAGUGGGUCAGUAAAACAAUUCUUUUCCAAAUCCAAACAUUUCUCAAAACGUUGUAACCCCUCUCCGUAAAACCUGUAUACUUUCCCAGAAAUGUAAAAUAUAAAUAUACAUAUAUAUUCUCAAAACUUCAUUUUUACUAUCUCAACAUUAUCUCUUUAUCAAUCAUGUCAUGCCAUGUCAUCUCAACAUUUCUCAUAUUAAUUAUGCCAUGCCACAUCAUCUCAACAGUAAUAAGGUAUGAAUGCAUCAACAUAAUCGUAUCAGGUGCAAGAAAGUAAUCAACCGUAGGCCCUCUAAUAGCCCUAUACGGUUGAACCUAGAGCUCAAAAUCUAUCAUUAUCACUCUACCGGAGUCACCUCUGUGACCCGUCCGGCCUUCUGCACACAAGUUACGCUCUAGUGCUUCUCAUAAAUCAUCUGUGCACAUAAUCUAAGGUCACCCACCAGUCGGAAUCUCACUAACACUCUCGCGACUGGUCUGUCGUACCCACUCCGCGUGGACUGUACGACUAGCA